UAUGAGAAGUUCUUGGGCCAGUG
rnacentral:miRNA from 1 species